CUCCAUGAAGUCGGAAUCGCUAGUAAUCGUGGAUCAGAAUGCCACGGUGAAUACGUUCCCGGGCCUUGUACACACCGCCCGUCACACCAUGGGAGUGGGCUGCAAAAGAAGUAGGUAGUUUAACCUUCGGGGGGGACGCUUACCACUUUGUGGUUCAUGACUGGGGUGAAGUCGUAACAAGGUAGCGCUAGGGGAACCUGGCGCUGGAUCACCUCCUUAAACGAUGAU
rnacentral:rRNA from 1 species